CUGAACUGAUCCUACUAAAGCCGUCUAAGAAAUGCCACGUCCCAAGUGGAAGUCAGGCACAGAAUUCCUGCAGCAAUGCUUAAGUGGCCCCGUGGAAAGAGGCGCUGGAGGAAGAAGCACUCCUUUGUCCCCGAAGCAGAUGACUGCCACGUCAGAACCACGCUGGCAGGCAGCGGGUGCGGACAGCCCUUUGCCAUGCACACAGAGGCAGCUCUGUGCAGGCUUGCCGUUUCCAUGGUUAUAUCCCAGCACCUUUUUCCAACACUGUUGCUCCCUCCCGCACACACAGAAAGGGAGCUGUGCUCCAGGAACCUGGCAGACCACAGCGGACAGCCUUUGAGCUGAGGCACGAUGCAGCAUCGACCCCGUUCUGCGCCUGCGCGGGAAAAAGCAGCUGCCGUCUAUGGGACCUAGAGGCAUGCUGGGAGUUGUAGUCACCGCCAUCAAUGAUGGAUCUAAGCUAUUCCCUGGAUUUGCAGCCCAGUCCUGUGUGAGUGCCUGAGAACCAGAUGAGGCUGGGGGGGAAAGCAGAAAAACGACAUAAUGGAAACCAGAUUUAAAUAAAUGCAAUGACAUAAUCUGUACGGUUUCU